AUUAUUGACAUAUUUGGCCUGGACCUGCGAUCAUCGAUCUCUAAACAUAUUUUUUGUACUAUCUACUACCAUCGGUAUAUAUUUCAUCUAUCAUUGGAAUCUUCCUGGAUGAUUAUAUCCACCGCUGUGUAUCAGAUUGUGAAAAUCAUGGCUACAUAGUAGCAAUAAUCCUGUUCAUUUUGUCCUGAAGAAGCCCCAC